AGAGUUUGAUCAUGGCUCAGAUUGAACGCUGGCGGAAUGCUUUACACAUGCAAGUCGAGCGGCAGCGCGGGGGCAACCCUGGCGGCGAGCGGCGAACGGGUGAGUAAUGUAUCGGAACGUACCCAGUCGUGGGGGAUAACUAUCCGAAAGGAUAGCUAAUACCGCAUACGUCCUGAGGGAGAAAGCGGGGGACCGAAAGGCCUCGCGCGAUUGGAGCGGCCGAUAUCGGAUUAGCUGGUUGGUGAGGUAAAGGCUCACCAAGGCGACGAUCCGUAGCUGGUCUGAGAGGACGACCAGCCACACUGGAACUGAGACACGGUCCAGACUCCUACGGGAGGCAGCAGUGGGGAAUUUUGGACAAUGGGGGCAACCCUGAUCCAGCCAUUCCGCGUGAGUGAAGAAGGCCUUCGGGUUGUAAAGCUCUUUCGGCAGGAACGAAACGGUGUCCCCUAAUACGGGGCGCUAAUGACGGUACCUGAAGAAGAAGCACCGGCUAACUACGUGCCAGCAGCCGCGGUAAUACGUAGGGUGCGAGCGUUAAUCGGAAUUACUGGGCGUAAAGCGUGCGCAGGCGGUUAUGUAAGACAGGUGUGAAGUCCCCGGGCUUAACCUGGGAACUGCGCUUGUGACUGCAUAACUCGAGUGUGGCAGAGGGGGGUGGAAUUCCACGUGUAGCAGUGAAAUGCGUAGAGAUGUGGAGGAACACCGAUGGCGAAGGCAGCCCCCUGGGUCAACACUGACGCUCAUGCACGAAAGCGUGGGGAGCAAACAGGAUUAGAUACCCUGGUAGUCCACGCCCUAAACGAUGCGAACUAGGUGUUGGGGAAGGAGACUUUCUUAGUACCGCAGCUAACGCGUGAAGUUCGCCGCCUGGGGAGUACGGUCGCAAGAUUAAAACUCAAAUGAAUUGACGG
rnacentral:rRNA from 1 species